rnacentral:rRNA from 1 species
CAUGGAGCUUUAAACCCAACGUACACCCCUGUUAUAAGACGAGAAGACCCUGUGAAACUUUAAAUGUCCAUCAAGCAAGCCAUGAUCAAGACAUUUUUGGUUGGGGCAACCAAAGAGAAACACAAAUCUCUACAACCCGUCACGCGGCAAACAGGCCAAAUGACACCAACUUAAGACCCAGCAUCGCUGACUAAGGAACCAAGCUACUCCAGGGAUAACAGCGCCACAUUCUUAAAGAGUCCAUAUCAGCAAGAAUACUUACGAC